rnacentral:lncRNA from 1 species
ACCAAGCAAUAAAAUAAUAUACAAAGUGAAACAAAGGAAAGACACACGACAAAAUCUAAGCCUAAAAAGUAAAGUAAAAUUGAAAAGCUAACAGAAACAACUUAAAAAAUCUCAAAUUCCAAAAUCAACAUAGCUUGAAACCCUAAAAUUAGCAGAAACAAAUAGCCAUAUCCUUGCAAACAGACCAAAAUGAUUAAUCUCCCCACAAAACACACCGAAGGGGUUAAGAUAGGGAGGGAGAUUGAGGGAAUCCUUUUCCUAAAUCAUGAAACCCCAAUCCAAAAACCCAACAGAGGAAACUAACUGACAGUGGAUCAAGCCAACGUCGAUCCUCCAUUGCAACUUCCCCAACCUCUAAAAGGGCAUCUUCCACUCAGAACCGAUCAGUUGAAUCUCUUUGACCCAGCGUCGCCAUUGCAUGCGUGACAGAAUUACAUCCUCGGGGCACGGAUUUGAAAUGAAAAAAAACUCAAAAUUUCUCAAAAGAGCUUUCACAUCCUAGGUAAUCUGCCGAAGAGUUAAGUAAUCUUCAUCAUUUUUUUUGCAAUUUCAGUAUUACAAUUUUUAAAUCACUCUCUACGAUGACUCACCGGAAUCCCAUUUCUUGGAUAGACUAUAAACCAUGUAGGACUGCCAUUGCCUUCGCUAUACAAAUUAUAGAAGCCCAAAUAUGGAUAUGAUACCUUAAUCCUAAAAUUUUCCCCAUAUCAUCUCAUAUAAUAAACCCUGAACUCGCUUUAUUUCUUGGUCUGGAGUAACCUGCAUCAACAUUAAUCUUGACCCACAAUGACGGUGGGGGGACCAAUGGACUAUCGCAAGAGGAGAAGGGUGUCUCAACACAGAGCUCAGUCCCCGAUAUUUACUUCCAUAGCUGUGAAUAAAGGUAACAAAUUCAUUUAUGCUCUGCAAAAUUCCCUCAUGGAAAUAUUUUUUUCGUGCAUAACAUAACACCCAAACUAUAAUAGCAGCAAUUUCUUUAUUAUAUGUGGUUGAAUGUUCAAACUUGCCUCGACCACCACUUUAGGCCACUGGAAAGCUAACUUUCCCUAAACCUACUUUGUAAAAUAGCGAUCACGACUAGCAUGAGUGGUUGAUUCAGCUUCCAGCUGACAUCGUAGACAUAACUAUCCUACUGCAAUUCUUUUACAGUAUAAAAUUUGCAUGGUUGGAACAUAAUUUUUAACAAAUUGCCAAAGAAGAAUUUUAAUCUUUAACGCACAGUUUAUGAGCCAUAAUUGCUUAAAGAUAAAACGCUCAGUAAUACUUACAGCACACGGACUUAAUAAAGUUUUAUAACCACUACGUAUUGAAUAUUAGCAUGUAUGCUUACCUAACCAAAAAUGUUUAUCAUUCUGGCUGUUCAUUGAUAAUGAGAUGCUCAUAAUGGUGUUCGCCUCUUCUUUUAUGAAUAGAGAUCUAAUGAGUCUAGUAUCCUAGCUUUUCGCCUCUUGUCGAAUUAAAUCACUGACUCGAUCCAUCCCUGCAACUCAUUAUGUGGUGAUUUUCCCCAUAUCCUUAC